rnacentral:rRNA from 1 species
UACAGAGGUCCCAAGCGUUGUUCGGAUUUACUGGGCGUAAAGGGUGCGUAGGCGGCCGGUCAAGUCUGAUGUGAAAUUUCGGAGCCCAACUCCGAAACUGCAUUGGAAACUGUCCGGCUCGAGGUUGGGAGGGGAGACUGGAAUUCUCGGUGUAGCAGUGAAAUGCGUAGAUAUCGAGAGGAACACCAGUGGCGAAGGCGAGUCUCUGGACCAAUCCUGACGCUGAGGCACGAAAGCCAGGGGAGCAAACGGG